rnacentral:rRNA from 1 species
AAUGAACGCUGGCGGCAUGCCUAACACAUGCAAGUCGAACGAAGGCUUCGGCCUUAGUGGCGCACGGGUGCGUAACGCGUGGGAAUCUACCCUUGGGUUCGGAAUAACUCGCCGAAAGGCGUGCUAAUACCGGAUAAUGACGUAAGUCCAAAGAUUUAUCGCCCGAGGAUGAGCCCGCGUAGGAUUAGCUAGUUGGUGUGGUAAAGGCGCACCAAGGCUACGAUCCAUAGCUGGCUGAGAGGAUGAUCAGCCACACUGGGACUGAGACACGGCCCAGACUCCUACGGGAGGCAGCAGUGGGGAAUCUUGCGCAAUGGGCGAAAGCCUGACGCAGCCAUGCCGCGUGAAUGAUGAAGGUCUUAGGAUUGUAAAAUUCUUUCACCGGGGAAGAUAAUGACGGUACCCGGAGAAGGAGCCCCGCUAACUUCGUGCCAGCAGCCGCCGCAGU